GGGGGAAAAUAUGAGAAACAAUCUUGUGGGAUUCAGUGAGGAAACACUUCAAAAAUAUAAUUUGAUUAGGACACAGCCUGUAUGAUUCAACGAGGGGGAGGAGGUAUUGCCUGGAAUAUGCAUCUGACAAACUUUCACAUCAAGAAUUACUAAAUUACUGUCAUGCAGCCAUGAGGCAGGGGCCAAAACAGCUUGUGGAAUAGACAACUUUUUUUUUUUCUUUUUUUUUUUUCUUUUACAAACUCAUAUACAGCAACUUUUUUGAGUUGUUGGCAACUAUGAAGGAGUCAGCAUCAUGAAUUGCUUUUGCUUCUGGUUCCAUUGAUAUAUUCUGCCUUUUUAUUUCUAUUAUGUUAUCACGUGCUGCAUGUCCUUCCUAAGUUCUCUGUUGGACUGGAGAACAGAAUCCAAAGGCAAGCAUUUGAGGUAUGCGGAUGAAGAGGUAAGAACAAUUUUAUUCAUAUUUAAUAAUACUUUUUCUUACUGAUAUUUUUAUACAUUUAAAAAAUCAAUU
rnacentral:lncRNA from 1 species